rnacentral:rRNA from 1 species
GACAGAGGCCUCGAGCGUUAGGCGGAAUCACUGGGCUUAAAGCGUGUGUAGGCGGAUCGUUAAGUGCCUUGUGAAAUCCCACGGCUUAACUGUGGAACGGCUGGGCAUACUGGCGGUCUUGAGCCAUCUAGGGGCGACUGGAACAAACGGUGGAGCGGUGAAAUGCGUAGAUAUCGUUUGGAACGCCAAUGGUGAAAACAGGUCGCUGGGGAUGAGCUGACGCGUGAGAACACGAAAGCCAGGGGAGCAAACGGG